rnacentral:rRNA from 1 species
UGCUUGUCUUCAAGAUUAAGCCAUGUAUGUCUAUGCAUUAGCCACAUUAAGGUGAAGCCGCGAAACGCUCAUUACAACAGCCAUUGUUUACUAGAUCUUUCUAUCCUACUUGGAUAACUGCGGUAAUUCUAGAGCUAAUACACGCGAAAAGCUCCGUCCGCAAGCGACGACGCAUUUAUUAGAACAAAAUAAAUCGGGUCUUGGCCUGUGUUUGAUGUAUCUGAAUAACUCUGUUGAUCGUAUGGUCUCGUACCGACCACAAAUCUGUCAGGUGUCUGCCUAAUCAACUUUUGAUGGUAGUUUAUGUGACUACCAUGGUGGUAACGGGUACGGAGAAUAAGGGUUCAAUUCCGAAGAGGGAGCCUGAGAAACGGCUACCAUAUCCAAGGAAGG